UACGAGGGGGGCGAGCGUUGUUCGGAAUUAUUGGGCGUAAAGAGCUCGUAGGCGGCCUGUUGCGUCUGCUGUGAAAUCCCGGGGCUUAACCCCGGGCGUGCAGUGGAUACGGGCAGGCUGGAGGCAGGCAGGGGAGAAUGGAAUUCCCGGUGUAGCGGUGAAAUGCGCAGAUAUCGGGAGGAACACCGGUGGCGAAGGCGGCUCACUGGCCCGUUACCGACGCUCAGGCGCGACAGCGUGGGGAGCAAACAGG
rnacentral:rRNA from 1 species